AGGAAAGGAGCAUCUUGAAUCAUCUUUAUGAUCUCGAGAAAAGGAACUCCAAGGGUUUUAUCUCUUCUCUCAUCUUUGCGUGCUUUAGGAAUAGCCCUUCUCUUCUUCUCCCCACUCUAACCAAGCCAAAUUCAUUUUAUGCAAACAUUGACAUUGUUUCCAAAUUAGAAACCUAGGCCUUAUGCAUUUGACUUUUCAAAAUCUUUUCAUCAAUACUCAUUGUGAAU
rnacentral:lncRNA from 1 species